AACAACACACAACAUUCCAGGAAUGUACUACCAAAGUUCUAUCAAUAUUUGAAUGUCCUGGACAUUUAGGGAACAUUCGGUGAACAUCUGUUUAAAUUAUUCCUGGAAUGUUACCAUAAGACAUUCUGUGAACAUACUACCAAUGUUCCUAUAUUUUAAGUUGCGAAAUAAUACAUACGUGUAACAGAUACAACAUUACUUAUAACAUACCAGACAAACUAAGUGACACUUUAGGCCUACAGUGCAAUAAUAUGUCAAAUUUAAAGAGUUUCCCAAGUUCAAUUAAUACAAUAUUAUAAACAUACAAAUGUAAUAAAAAUUAUUGUUCGCGAAUAUUCAAUUUGGAAUGCGAUUUUGUUAAUAAAAAAAAUACUUAUAACUUAUGCAAAACCCAAGAGAGGCAUUUAUAUUUAUUUCUUUUGCGUUCAUUUUCAAAUUCGCCGUGCAUAUAUUUUUGUGCAUGGCGCUUGAGAGGGCAUCACGUGACUAAAAACGACCAACCAACGACCUCGCUUCGGCCAUCUUGGCAUCUUCAUCUUGGCCACCUUGCUUUGCCGUGGGUGGAUCGUUUGUAUUAUUUGUGCUUUUUAAGAAUAUUUUUUUAAUUCGGAUACUUUUAUAAUAGCUUUAAUAGUAUUAUUAACAUAGUGAAUAAAAUGGUGUCCUGUUUUUAACGCAGUUGGAGUAGCAGAAACAAAUGUAGAUAAAAAAAUCUGCAGGAAUAACGUUUCAAUUAUGACAGAAGCUCCAAACAAAUGACUGUGAAUGAAAAGCCCUAUUAAAAGCUUUCCAGAAGAUCCUGCGAAGAAGACAUGAAGUAUAGAUCAGAUUUGUUAAUAGAGGAGUAUGUUCAAAACACUUUUUAGAAAAAGAUAUUGACAGAACUUCACUUUCAUCUGUUCGUUUAAGAGACUGUGCUGUUCCAAUAGCUUAUGUCACACAGGUAUAUGCAUUUUUUUUUCUUGGUUUUAACAUCUUUAAACGCGAAAUACGCAAUAGCUUAUCGAAUUGAUGCCAUGUUA